CCUCUAUUAGGAAAAGGAGUCAGCAAGUGGCAGCACAAAUAAGUCUCAGGAAAGAGUCAUUUGAAAAAUAAAGGCAGUGAAGAUAUAUGAAACCUUUAUCCACAAAAUGACACCACUAACUAGGAAUGUUCCUCUCAUGGCACCUGGAAAAAGUAUGAAAAGUCAAGCUGUUUUGGAAAGACCUGGAAUAGAAAUCAUUGACAAAGGCAGAAGGCUAGAUUCAAGGAGCACAGCAACAUGAACCCCGCCUCACCCCUGAAAAGCCUCUGACACUGAUGACCAUUGCUUAAUAGAGGAAAUGAAAUUUCCCUUAAACAUAACUCAUUGACCUGAAGACAGCCAAAGAGCUCAUGACCAAAUUGAGGAUUAAGUUCUGCCGGAAGAUCUCUUCAACCAUUACAGACCUCAAGGGAAAGUACUGUAGCAAAUGUGCUCAGCAUGCAGUAAUCCUGCAUUGGUCAUGAAGCAGGAGAAAUAGCCCUUCUCCCAGCUGAAAUCUCAAAGGGAGGUCAAGCUCUUGUUAUAUUACUAUGGUGAUAGCACUGGUAGAGGGUAGCAGCCCACAGUGAACAAGGGGCAAUAAAGUUUCCCUGAUCCCAGGAACAUGGGAACUAAGUUCAUUCACUCCCAAGGAACGAUAAACUCCUAAAGAGUUUUCCUUUAAUAUGGGAGGUUCAUUUACUGUUUCAUUAAGUGAGUACCGCCCAUUGAGUUAGGCUAUUUUUACUCAGGGCGCACAGAUACCAUUUGAUUUCACUGUCUAGAAAAAAAAGUGAACAACAAAGAUCGGUAAUCAGACUCAGAACCAAGUAAUGUCUGUGCUUUGUUAAGUAUGAAGAAAAACAGAAAAUUUCAAGCAAGCAAAUAUGACUUCAGACAAUAGAAUGGCUUUUUUUUCCUUGUGGUGCCCAUGAGAAGUGCAUUUGCUCAUUACCCAUACUAGGAAAUAUCAAUUGCAACCUGUCACUUUGAUAAGAGUAACUAUUUGUUGCACUCAAGCAAAUCAUCUCUUUUUAAAAGAUUUUGAAUAGAAAAAUGCCACAAACAUGUAUGGAAUUUAAAAUACUGUAUUUUAGUACAUUGAUUUUGAGAAUAGCUGUUUAAGGAUAUCCAAUGAAUUGUAAUAAUUAUCAUAGAUAUAAUCUUAUAAGAUGGUAUCUACUUUGAGUUUUGGAGAAGAAGCGAGUGUUUCUGCAAACAUUUUUUCCCCCUGUAAUUGAAAUGUUAUUUACCUCUUCCUAACAGAGUGGAAUGUAUGGAAUGGUAUUUAAAGGUGAUGCUGAAUUUUCAUCUGCUCUGUGCUGGCUGUGCGUAUCUCUGAUGACCUCCUCUUUUUUCUUAGAUGGAAUAAAGGGACAAACACAAAUAUCCAGUGUUUUCAUAUAAAAUGUCAUUCAUCACA